rnacentral:rRNA from 1 species
UUGGAGGGCAAGUCUGGUGCCAGCAGCCGCGGUAAUUCCAGCUCCAAUAGCGUAUAUUAAAGUUGUUGCAGUUAAAAAGCUCGUAGUUGAAUUUCGGGAUUAGUACGCUGGUCGUGCCUUCGGUACGUACUGGUGUUACUGAUUCCUACCUUCUGACGAACCAUCAUGUCAUUCAUUUGGUGUGGUGGGGAAUCAGGACUGUUACUUUGAAAAAAUUAGAGUGUUUAAAGCAGGCUCGCGCUUGAAUACAUUAGCAUGGAAUAAUGAAAUAGGACGUUGAUCCUAUUUUGUUGGUUUCUAGGAUUGACGUAAUGAUUAAUAGGGAUAGUUGGGGGCAUUAGUAUUCAAUUGUCAGAGGUGAAAUUCUUGGAUUCAUUGAAGACUAACUACUGCGAAAGCAUUUGCCAAGGAUGUUUUCAUUAAUCAAGAACGAAAGUUAGGGGAUCGAAGACGAUCAGAUACCGUCGUAGUCUUAACCAUAAACUAUGCCGACUAGGGAUCGGAUGAUGUUAUUUUUAAUGACUCAUUCGGCGCCUUACGGGAAAC